UUUUCCCAGCACACUAUCUCUCUACCUCUCAUCUUCUUCUUACCUCUCUCUCUCUCAACCCCACAAACACACAAACUCCAUCCAACCCCACCAUCACUUCUUCUUCUUCCUUCUUCCUUCAACUUUCACACACGAUCACCCUCUCACCGAAGCAUCACCAUCUUUUUCGACCGGCAACCUUCUGGCGGCCAUUUUUUCCAAAGGAUCUUCUUUCUUUCUCUUGUUCCUAUAUUUUUUUUUAAGAUUUGGCAGGAAAUACGCAAAUUCAAUAAAAAAGGGCGCGAAAGCAAAUUCUCCAGGCGAUAAGCGAAAAAUCCAAGCCAGCCACCUCAUCGCAUGUACGGCCAAGCUUCACCGCAUGUGCAGCCCACCACCGCUCGAGCGGCCCACCUAAGGUUGCAUGUGUGAAAUUUUAAGGCUCUUCUGCUGGGAAUAAAAGGAAAAAGAGGACAUUAAAAGAGGGUUCAAAAAUUAUUCUAAGGAAAGGGAGGCAAGAGUUUUGAAAAUGUGAUUUUUCCUCAAGCUUUAAGAAAAACUCUCAUGAGGGCUUCUUUCUUUUCCACCUUUUCCAACUCUUCCUACUCCUUCAUGAGUGGUUAGGGUCUUUUUUUCUAGGGUUUUGAUGAAAUCCUAUCCACGUAAAGAGAUUUUUCUUGAGCUUUGAUUGUGAAAUGGUUUGAACAAAUGUAUGGACGUUUUAGAAGUUUAUAAUAAUUGUUCUUUUCA